rnacentral:rRNA from 1 species
UACGGAGGGAGCUAGCGUUGUUCGGAAUUACUGGGCGUAAAGCGCACGUAGGCGGCUUUGUAAGUUAGAGGUGAAAGCCCGGAGCUCAACUCCGGAAUUGCCUUUAAGACUGCAUCGCUUGAAUCCAGGAGAGGUGAGUGGAAUUCCGAGUGUAGAGGUGAAAUUCGUAGAUAUUCGGAAGAACACCAGUGGCGAAGGCGGCUCACUGGACUGGUAUUGACGCUGAGGUGGCGAAAAGCGUGGGAGCAAACAGG